CCCUUAGAUACCCUGGGCCGCACGCGUACUACAAUGGCGAGUACAUCGAGUCAACACUUCGUUAUGCGAAGGUCCUGGUUCCGAAAGGACCGGGUAACCUCCACAAAACCCGCCGUGAUGGGGAUAGCCGAUUGCAAUUAUCCGCCUUGAACGAGGAAUGCCUUGUAAACGCGAGUCAUGCAUCUCGCAUUGAAUACGUCCCUGCCCUUUGUACACACCGCCCGUCGCUCCUACCGAUGAGCCAUGAGAUGAACCUUUGGGAGAAACGAUGGCUUUCACCGGCUGUCUGUUUUGAACUCCGUUGAAUCUUAUGGUUUAGAGGAAGGAGAAGUCGUANCA
rnacentral:rRNA from 1 species